AUAGUCUUUUGCAGAGAUAUGUUGGCCAUAUACCACAAUUGGAACAGUAUGAAUAUUUUCCGCAAUACCUGUGGUCAUCAGCCUUUAGCCCACACAAUUUAGAAAGUACUCACUAACCUAGAUUAUACAAACUUCAAGAGAAGAAGUAAUGGAAAAAAGGCGGACUUACUGCGACUGCCAAUCAGAGGUUUAUCCAAUCGUUGGACCACUGUUGACCUUGUGUCCCAUCACUGCCAUUGACUGAAAGAUGGGGUGUGGUUAGCAGCAGCAGGAGUCUUCAGCAACAAGACCAGUUGGGUUCUGGACAGGGACCGGUGAGAAACGUUUGGCCAAGUAUUCUUGAGAUGGGGUUCUUUGGCUCAUGUUGUUCUGAGAUGGGGUUCUUUGGCUCAUGUUAUUCUGAGAUGGGGUUCUUUGGCUCAUGUUGUUCUGAGAUGGGGUUCUUUGGCUCAUGUUGUUCUUGGAACCAACAGGACACCAGAGAUAUUAGAGGCACUCUACCUAGGAACCAACAUUAUAUACAAGAUGGCCACUAUCAAUGUAAAUUAGUUAAUGUAAAUGUUUUAGAAAACUUUUUAUUUUAUGUAUGCGUUCUUAACAAUGUGGGAGAUGGUGUGAGUGGAUUUUUCCCAUGUUUUCCUGUUAAAUUCCCACUUGUGAGCUGCCAGUACCUCUUACAGGGACUGAUAAUGAAGUUAUUCUUACAAUAAAUAAUUGUGAUAACCCAGUCGAAAAGGUUAUACAUUAUUUUGAAUGGCUGAGAAUUGUUUCUGUGGUAUUUUGUCAAAUAUAAUGAAUGCAUUAUAAAUAAGAGGUCUAAUGGCUGUCUGCUAAAAUGGGGUACUAAUUCUGGAAUAUAGAAGGAUAAGUAAAGAAUACAUAUAUAUAUUUUUUUUUUACUCUAUUAACAUAAAUUUUUUACUAUAUUCACACUCUAUUAACAUCUAUUUUAACAGGUAUUUGAAUCUUUGAGUCUUUUUUGUGGCAUGCUGACUAGUUUUGCUUGAUGCAGUGACACCUGACCUUCUAACUCUACUACAGUCAGGCUAUUUCCCUAUGCUGACCUGGUGCUGAGUCAUAACCUAGACACAGGCAUACUUCGCGUUAUUGGAACUUUGCGUUAUUGGAACAGAUUCAACUGGAAUUUUCUUUUGAAAAAAGGGAACAAAACAUUUCUGAAUUCAGCCCAAAUAGAUUUUGAUUGGGGGGGGGGGGGGGUUGCUGACUGUUUUCCACCUGAGUCAGAUGAUG